CCAGCACCAAGUCAAGAGUAAGUUUAAUAUGUCCAACAAAAUUCACACGAAUCAUGGCAUGGUUAGGCAAUGUAAUAUAUGCAUCUUGCACAGCCUUUAACGUGUGAAAGCAUGCACGGUUGAAGCAUACAUGACUAGUUGCCCUGAAUCCAACACCCAAUGCCUAGGAGAAUUAAGGACUUGAUUAAUGGAAACAGAUAAAAUUGUACCUGACACAUGAUCAACAUUAGCUACUUCAUCAUCCAUCUUAGAAGUUGUGAGGUGUGUGCUCAACAUACUCAUCAACUGUUGGCACUGAUCAUGGUUCAAGGUUUGCAUAAAAUUCCCAGUAUUGCCCCGAGAUUGGUCUGAAACAGAACCAUAAAUUUGAUUAGCAACAUUAUUAGUUGAGUGGGGAUUAAAACCUGUGUAAUUGCGUGAACCAGGUUUUUGCUUUGGCUUGUAUCCAGGUGGAUAUCCAUAGAGUUUAUAACAUCUAUCAAUCACAUGUCGUUCAUAUCCACAAUAUGUACAAGUUGGUCUCUCCUUUUGAUUCCUGUCGCGAGAUGGCUGCCCCAUACCUGUCCUCUUCACUUCAUUUCUAGCAUAAAAGGCUAAGGAACCAGCAGCUCCAACAUUCAGGUUAAUAGCUCUCUGAUGUUCCUCCUGUGAAAUGAGUUAAAACACCCUUUUUAUCGAUGGAAUUGGAUCCAUGAGCAGCAACUGCCCCUUGACCUGUGCAUAAGAGUCAUUCAAUCCCAUUAGGAAUGACAUGACAUACUCCAUGUGAUAAUGAUCUACCAACCUUUUGUUGCCACCACAUUCCAUUUUCCACAGGUACAUGACGGCUUGUAAUUGCUUAAUUCUUCCCAAAUUGAUUUCAAUUUGGUAAAAUAAGCACUAACAGAUGAUUGUCCUUGUGUCAAAUUCAUCAAAUCACGCCUUAAUUGGAAGAUUCGAGGACCAUUCCUUUGCUGAAAUCUCUCCAAAUCUCAUGAGCAGAUUCCUAAUAGAUGAUGCUAGCUGAAAUUUCCUUUGUUACGGAAUUAAGAAUCCAAGAGAUGACAAUGUUGUUGUUGUUGCGGAUCCAGGCAUUAAGCAACUCAGUGUUGCCUUCAGGUCGAGUAAUUGAUCCAUCAACAAAACCGAAUUUAUUUUUCACCUUUAAUGCUAUGGUCAAGGCUCGAUUCCAGGCAGCAUAAUUUUCACUAGUUAGCUGCUAUGAAACUAGAACUAUACCAAGACUAUCUGAGUGAUGAAGGUAAUACGGACUGGAGACAUCAUCAAUGGAAGAAUGAUUCAUUGAUGAAGAUGAAGCCAAAAUGGACGAUAAAGCUAGAUCUCCCUUUUCUGCCAUGGCGGAUCAAAUUGAGCAAAUUGCGAAGCUAAGGAAGCCUCUGCUUUGAUACCAUAUUAAAGGAGAAGAGGAAAUUGAGAAAUGGAAAAAUAUCUCAUUCAACUGAAAAUGUUCUGUUCAAUCACCUUAAAUAGGAAGAAGAAAAAUGGCGGGAAGGUAGUUUCUAACAUCCAGCUAAUUGACAGCUAGGCAAACUAAUCAGAAAUAUUUGGCGCCAAACUGACUUCAAUUAUUCUGAUAUGAGGACUUUUCCCGCCGUGAAUCCCUAAAUAUUUCGUCGAUCUCCAUAUUUCUUUAUUACUUAUUAUCAAUUCCACACAUCCAAGAAGAAAUCACAAAACCAAUGUAGGAAAUGGAUAAUUAAGUACGAUUGAAAUCAAUAUGGGGAAUGAAAAAUGAGAAAUUAGUAAAGUUGUUACUUGCGGAAGAAUUGAGCCUACGAACAGUUAAAUCGAGAUGGGUAUUGUACAGACAAUUGGAAAACUGAGUUCUUUAUAGCAUUCAUUACUUCAAUUUUGCGAUUUCCAUCUAUUAAUAACCUUGAGAGAAAGCGAUAGCGGCGUUUGUUGUGGGACGUAUGAUGGAGAAGACUGUUGUAAAGCUUUGGUUGCACAGGUAUUGUUCAGAGGUAGUGGCAGCGUCGGUGUUGGGUAGACUCAAAGGUAAGGAUUUGUUUUCCUUUCGUUUGCACUAAAGAAAAAUAGAGUACAUAGCGAGUUAAGUAUGAAAGGGGAGUGGCUAUCGUGUCUUUUAAUAAAGCAUUGAG
rnacentral:lncRNA from 1 species